AGUGACGGGAAUUCUGACUCGUUUUUGUGAAUCAGAUCAGACUCAACUCAGCUCACCAAUAUGAGCCGACUCUUUCGACUCCAAAUGGCUCAAUGACAUUUUUUCAAUAUUUGUGAAGGUUCUUAUUUGUCCAACUACCCAGAUAGCAAGCACAUUUGGGCCGAUUCCGGUAGAAACCCGCCGGUAUCGGUGAAAAGGUAAUGGCCUAGAGCACUGCCGACUGCUCACACCACUUCUGGCUGACAAACGGUUUUUAUGUGUGCCAAUGUCGACUGAAAGCUGGUGUACUUUCGGCAGGCCCGUACUCGAUGUAGCGGUGUGUAUCUACUUUCGGCCGAGUGUGUUACGUCACAGUCGGGCCACAGCUAGAAUUAAGGAGCUCGGCCGCCUGGAGUAAAAGAAAAAGAAAAAAAAAAAAUGGCGGUUAAAUAAGUUAGCAUCCUCUGGCUGCGGUCAGUCUGCGUUUUCAUUCAGCUGAAGAAGAUAGCUAUGAGAAAGGAAGGAGAAAGGUUCGAGAGGCUGAGGUUCGAUCUGACCUUCAGUCAGAUGCAGAAGAGCCAGGCCGAAAAAAUGCCAGGCGCAAAAUGCCAAGCACUCGACUUUUGAGCUCCUCUUUGAUGGACUUUGAGGAAGAUGAUGCUUUACAGCAGGAUUCCACAGGUAUUCCUGCUCCUCCACCAGUCUGUCAGCUUGAUUGACCCACAGAGGGGACUUCAAUAUCCUUUACAGAAAUGCUGACCAGUAACCAUGCCAUCUGGCAGCCUGAGGAUUUCACAUGUGAACGUCCAAACCCACAACAGUCUGAACAGACUCUAUUACACGGAUGCCAAAGGACUCAUCAGACCCCUACUCCUGAAGUUGUCUGUAACUCCACAAGCCUUGAAGAUCUUGGUUCCAAGAAACACCUUUCUGUGGAAAAAGAGCUCUACAGCCACCUGAAGUCAGUGCCAAUGCUGUCCGAAAGAACCCGUUAACAUCAAGGGCAACAAGUGCUGAGAUUGAGACAGUGAUGAAAAGGCGGCUGCAGCUGGCUACAGACCGUGGAGGAGGACGGAAGAGGCGCGACAAACAGUAGCUUGCCCUUGAUAUACAUUGAUAUGAAUUCUGCUCAUUUACAUUACAUUCUAACUGAUAAUCUGUGGUACAUGUUAAAUUCAUGUUUUUGUUUGUUCAUUUAUGUCAUUGUCUCUGCGUUGUUAAGUUAAUGUUUAAUGUAAUUUUUUUAAUUUGAUGGGCUGUGAAAUAUUUUUAUACAGUUUUAUUAUUUUAAAAAUAAAUAUUAAAUAUCAU